rnacentral:rRNA from 1 species
GGCCUUGUACACACCGCCCGUCACACCAUGGGAGUGGGUUGCAAAAGAAGUAGGUAGCUUAACCUUCGGGAGGGCGCUUACCACUUUGUGAUUCAUGACUGGGGUGAAGUCGUAACAAGGUAACCGUAGGGGAACCUGCGGUUGGAUCACCUCCUUACCUUAAAGAAGC